GUUUUGCAUCUCCUUUGCUCUCUCUCUCUCUAGAGUUUUCUCUCUCUAAGAUGAAAGCAAGGAAUUGAGCUUGUUUCUCUUUGCUCUAUGAGGUUUGCUGUAGGAGAGGGCCUGAAUCAGCUAUGAAGGAGUAAAAAGGAGGCUUAGGGAGAGGUAUUUCGUGACCCUAGCUUUGUAAGCAGCUGGGUUGAGGUUUGAGGGGGUUUGGAAAAUAGUCUCAACAGCUAGAGAGGGGUAAUUUUGCUGUAAUUCCUCUAUUUAUACCCAGGGGAAAACUAAAGUGAAGCUGUGAGAAGUUAGAGUAUUCAUUCUGAGUUGAAUAAUACGCUUUCGUGAACUGAUUGUGAAUAUACUUCAAUUUGAGGGAAGUGCAAUUUCAAGUUGAGAAUCUAUGCAAGUAAAUUUCAGCAUAUACUAAGUGUAUAAGUGAAGUAGUGAUGCAGUUUUGGAAUCUAAUUACAGCAGGUUAGUGACUUUUGAAGCAGAAUUGGGAGGUGAUUCUUCAAUCCUGAGCUAAGAAAAAACUGAAAUUGAAAUUUGAAAAAGUAUAUAUUUUCAGCAGCCUUGGAAUUCCUUUUGAGCUGAAGGUUGGGACUUUUGUGAGCUGGUUUUGAGGUGUUUCAACCAGGGGUUGAACUGAACCAAAUCAGUUAGAAGCAGGUUCACAGUGAACCAUUUGAUCUUAUUUGACUAAGUUUUGGAAGCUUUCGAAGGCUGAAUUUGAUACUCCAAUCUGAAUCAAAACGAGGAAUUAAGCAUUGAUACUGUACUAAGACACUCAGAGGCUUCGGAUUACCUUCAUUGGCAGAAUCGACGCGAGCUUCGGUAAUUAGAGCCUUCCAUUGCGGGAAAGGCUAGGGUUCCCGACGAGAAGUCAGUGGCUAGCUAGAGCCUUCUUGACGUUAAAUAGACAACCCUUACAACUUUAUACAGUUUCCUCCAGUAUUGUAUAUUAAGCCAUGUAAAUUGUGCUUUAGCCUUAUCUGUUGUAAUAGAGUUUUGAGUUGUAUAAGUUUAAACUUUUAAUUGUGCUCUGAUUACCUAGUGCAGUUAAGAUGUGGAUACUAUUUUGUUGA